UAGGUAUACCUCCGUCCAGAAAUAACUGUCGCUUAAACGGAUGUAUCUAGACGUAUUUCAGUGCUAGAUACAUCCGUUGAGCGACAGUUAUUUCUGGGCGGAGGGAGUAUAAU
rfam:Triticum aestivum genome assembly, contig: Triticum_aestivum_CS42_TGACv1_scaffold_374463_5AL